CUUUGAAUUUGUCAAAAAUGUGCCUGCCUUUAAGGGUUGCUUUAUACCGUUCAAGACUAUCAUGGAGAGGUCAAUGUUGAUAGUGUUAUAAUUAUUAUUAUAAUUGUUACUUCUACAGUUAUUGUAGGGGAAAUAUUACUUUUUGUUUCAUAUUGAUGAUUUUAACCUCUUUACAAAGGGCUUGUUUCAUGGGACGACACUUUCAUACUGCAUUUUUAAUUUUGUUCAAUUUACGUCAUUUACCCCUUCAGUAGUGUAACUUGGGCAUCAUACCAAAAUAUUAUUAUUAUGACAGUGUUAUUAAACUAUACAUUAUUGUUAUCACAGUGUUAUUAAAACUAUGUAUAUACUCAAAUUUUAUAUCAUAAGUCUGGAAAAUAAUAGAAACCACAUAAAACCUCAUAAAGUUCCCAUCUACUGCAUUACAUCUCAAGAUGUAACAUGACCUGGAGUGGUUAAUAAUGAUGAAAAAGUUGAUAUUAAAAUGUACACUUCAUAAUAGAUACAUAGCUGCAUUACAUAUACCACAUAUGCAUGUUGAAAAGCUGAACAUAUGACACCUGAAAAAUGGUGUGAAAAUUAGACCUGAGUGUCAUAAUCAUGUGUACUCAUAGGUGGACUGUCAAUUGUCUUAUGCAAGAUGCCAAGUAUAGUUAUCCUAUGCUUAAUGUAUGUGGGUCAGUGGCUGUUUGCAUAUAUGGCCUUCACUAUUUAGUCUCAUAUGUUGUGUGUCUCUUGAGUGUCGUAGUGUAUUUCUCUGUUUAAUAUCCUUUCCAAAAUAUUACUGUGAAAUGCAUCAUGUCUCCUAAACACAACAAAGCUAGUGCAUGGUGUUCUCACAUUGUCCACUUUGCAUAAUUUUCUAUUUCACAUAACAUACAAGAACAUUAAGUGCAUGAUUGCUGUGAAUUGCGUUAAACACCUUAUUAUAUUUACCAUUGUGAUCAAUUUCUCCCAAGCUGCCUAACAGAUACCUUCAACAUUGUCUUUUUUUUACGUCACAAAAAUGUCUGAUUUUUCAGCUUCCAGAUAUUGGACAAAUGAAACCAAAGCCUUUUCCAUGGAUUAUGUUCAAGUAUAGUUGUUGUUUUUUCAACUGAGAGUGGUUUCUAAGCAGGCUAGUGUGGUAUAUAUUUAUAAGGAACACUUAAAUUAAGUGCAUCAAGUGAAUUGGAGCAUAAGACAGGAGAAAUUAAAAAGCAAAUAAAAUUUGAAAUAAAGAAAGGGAAACAUUGGAAGUCACAGCUAAAUGGAAAAUGAAAGAACACAAAAGAUAAAUACACCAAAUACAUGUUUUUUAGAUGAAAUAAUAAUUGAGCUUAUAAUUCUUUUUCUUUGCUCUGUAGGAUUUUAUGAUUCCUUUGUAGUUAACACCAGAUGAACAUAUUUUCACAGCAGUUGAAUAUUAUAUAGGAAUAACGAAGAUCUUUGGUUAAGGAAUGAACUUAUUUCUUGUUUUAUAUUUUUUACUUUUUCUGUUAAUGUAUAGUGUUAUAUUUAAUAGGUGAACAAGAGGUGAUGUCUAUAAUGCUCUUCUUCCUUCACUUACUUUCUUUUAAUUUGCAGUACUGCUUGCAUUAUUUUACGUCAUUUUAAUUUUUAUCCAAGAGGGAAACACAGCUUUUAUUUGAUUCUUUCCGGGUCUUACUUUUAUCGUCUUUUGCCAUUUAAUUAUUAGCUCUUCAUACACAUGUUUUAUCUUCCAGUAGACUAAACACUUGCUGUUGAGGGAAAGAUGGACCGAUAAUGCUGGUGAUAGUUGUAAUAUCCUUAACUGUAUUCUCUCCAGCAGGGUGCGUCCUCAGACAGUGACUGAUAUUCGUGCACAUCGCUGGCACAUAAGCCUUCAGCUUCACCUCGACAAUUGCACCAGGAAGAGAUAAAUGGGUUCUAAAAAUGGCAACGGCUGGGAACAGCAGCAAUGGCGUGGGAGCUGAGGCUGGCAAUGGCACAGGAGGAUCAUCAAGUGAUGACUCCAAUGACAGCGAAGAAGACGACUCUGAAGAACACAGGGGUAUCCAGUGUGCUACACACUAAUUUUCUUGGCAUUCAUGGGACACAAAUCGAAGACAAUUUUCAAGGUGACUUCCCUUCUCUUUCUCACCCCUAAAAUGAGACGUGUGUUUGUGUGAGUGAAUGUGUGGGUGUGAGAAUAUACAUGUGUGGGUGUGUGAGAUUCUCUGGAAUUUGUUAAAGGAAGACAUGAGAAAAGGAGAAUUUGACCAGGAAAGCAUUACUGUAUUUUUUUUUUUUUUUUUCUUCUUUUUUUCCCCUCGAGUCAGUUACUGUUGGUGAAUUAUUCACUAGAGUGGGAGUUGCUCCUUAGUUACAAGAGCACCUGGCCAGAUAAAUAGGUUGUAAGAUCUUCCCCUUAUUCUCCACACUGAGAUAAUUUCUUGGGCUAGUUUGUUGAUGCGUUGUCAAAGCCAUGGUAAUCAGUCCAGAAAAAAGGUGAAGGUACUUAAUGAAAAUAUGUUGAGUUUUACUCAGAUUGUCAGUAACAUGUAUUAUGUUGAUAGACAGGCUAUGUAAAGUAUUUGUUCACUGUAUUUUACAGGGUUAAAAAUUGAGCCUGGCUGUUGCAUUAAUACUUGGAGCUCAAAUUGAAUCAUACAACACAAAUAGCUAUUAUGUUAGUUUAAAGCUGUAGCCCAGUAUUUCUUUGUUCCCUGCUCUCAUUAUUUACCAUCAUAUGUCCAGAACCAUAUUUGUCAAGGUCAUUGGAAUUUUUAGAAGAAAUUUAAAUGCCAAAUGUGUGAGGAAAGUUACUUAUACUAAUUUUUCUUUAGGCAGCAGUCAGUGGGAGAAGCAAGGAAAAGUAUUAUGAAAGAUGGAAAUAUAAUGUUGAUAGGAACUAAAUAUAGUCAUCAUGAUUACAUAAAAUUAGGAUUCUACCAUAUGUUCCAUAUCAAACCUUUAUAUAUAUAUAUAUCUUUAACUAGACAAUUUCCUUUAAUAUCACAACAGAUAUAUUUUCUUAGAGAGCUUGGUGACCUGAAAGAUACCAGUUAUGCCUACGAAAAUUGACAUUCAGUGUUCUUGGCAAGUGGUUAUGCCAAAGUGUAAACAAAUCUAUAACUAUUUUCCAUUUGAUUAAAAACAGUGAGUGAUGUACCUGUUAAAGAGGCAAAUAUUUUGGUAAAUUUUAAGUUAAAAGGUAUUCUUUUGUAACAGGUUUGUUUUCCUUUCUCACUGUGUUAUUUAUUUCAAGUUUAAAAUUUAGUAUAUAAGAUAUCCUUAAUGCUGUCAGAAUCUUGUUGAAUACUAUACAUACGUUAUGCCUGUUAUUUUGUUAGGGCAACAAGCCACCUGGGUUUCAAACUUUGCAGACUUUUGGAAACCUAAAAGGCAGUUUGAUUAUUAACCAGUUGUGCAUAAAUAUAUGAAAGAUCACAAACAUUUGCUUGAAUUUCUUGUACUGCAAGAUAGGCUUCAUUGUUAAGUCUGAACCUUAGAUAUGAGAGGUCUAAUUUCCCUUUUUUGCUUGACAGUUGGACAUGUCACCUAAAUAUGCUAUUGGUUUAUGUUCCUAAUAUGUGUGUCUUUGGAGACAAUAUUGUAUCACUUCAUAUUCCUUUUCUCUUUCUUUCUCCCUUUCCAUUUUGAGGAUUGCCUGAGUUUAUCUGAAGAGCCAAGCCCAUAGACCUCUUCAUACCAUAAAGUCCAGAGAAGUUUGUGUUUCUUUCUAAAAGAUAAUCUGUGUGCUUAGGAAUAGAAAUCACAGAUUAAUACUGACUGUGAUAUUCCUUUCUUUAUUUCUUUCCUUGCAUAUAGGGAAUGUUGAAAUGUUUCUGAUAGAGUACAACCUUGGUCCCAUUUUUGCAUCAUUUUCCUUCCCUACUUUCUCUUUCUUGCUCUUUUAGAUUAUUAUCAGAUGUUGAAAUAAGCUCUUUCAUAUUUUGCCAGAAAGCCAAGGGAUGGCAUUUUUUCCUUAAUAUAUUUAUAAACACAUAUAUAACCUUAUUGGGUGUCUGAUACAAGGUCUGCUAAAACGUAUAUUUAGUAAAUGUAUUGAUAUUCCAUAAACUGAGUGCCUGCAUACCCAGUGAUGCUCUAUUAGAAGGCAUUUCUUAAGGUUUAAGGGAGACUAAUUCAUAGUUGCAGGAAGUUGGACAAAUUCUUUUUUUUAGGCCUUGGUGAACCUCGUAAUUGAAAUGAUGGAAAGGAACUAUUGUUUUCAUAUUUGUUUUCAUUUAUUUAUUUAUUAUUAUUACUAUUAGUACUAUUUUUAUUGUUAUUAUUAUGUUUCUUUUGAUUUGGCUUAUGCUAAUUGUAUAUUUUGUUUGUCCUGUAAAAAUGUUAGCUAUAGAAAAUAAUCAGUAAUAAUAACCUUAAUGGUUUAAGAUUAUGGGGUAGGAGUAAUUUCAGUGAAAGUUUUAGUUUCACUGUUUAGGAAUCUUUGUUUUUAAAAGGGUAAAAUAUCAACAUUAGUCUAAAGACCCCAUCACCUCAGGGUUAAUAUAGAAGAAAUCAAAAUUAUUUCAUGUAUUGUAAAAAGAGUUACCCCAUUGACAUAAUUUGAAAGUUAUUAACUGUCAUCUUGAAAUGUAUGCAAUCUAUGAGGAAGUGUUAUAUUAAUGGAAUAAUUUACAAUCCUUCAAUUUUUUACACCUGAAUUACGAAAGAAAAUUGACAGUUACUUCAUCAAAAAUGAAUUAUAUUAUAUUUUUUUCUGAAUCGUUGCCCAGUUGUUGUUUAUAGUAACCUAGUUCCUUCAUCAUUUCCAAGUCAGAUUUAGUUGAUAUUAUAAUUUAAAUAAUAUUGUUUACAUCCAGAGCCAAGGAGUUUAGAACUCCAAUGUAAGUUCUCUAUUCUUUUGUUUAUUCAUGAGAACAAGGUAUUGAGACUGCAGCAAUUGAGUUGUUCCAGCCCAGGUAAUCAAGGCAUUGGUUAUUAAACAGUGAGUGAAGGAGGUUUCUCCUUUACCUUUUGAAAAGUUAGGAAGACCUUGUGUUAACUUCGUUUUGGCUUUAAGUUAUGAUAUGUAAAGUUUUAUCAGUGUAUAAAACAAUAAUGUGAUGUAUGAAAUAGUGUAUGAUUUAUCAAGAUUUGCAGUUAUUAUUUGAAUUGUAUUUCAAUAAUAUUGGGUGAUCAUCUGUAAGCAUUUGUGUGAUCAGAUUAUUUGGAAUGGAAAUCCUAUUGUAAAUAAUCUUAUUCAAUUGUCUAUUAUUGUAACAUCAAGUUUAGAAAUAAAAAUUGUUUACAUAA
rnacentral:lncRNA from 1 species